UCGAUGCGUGUUUUUAUUGUAUUUAAAGUUUUAUUUAUUUAAUAGUAUUGUGAAUUAGUUUCGCUUCUUAAUUUUUUACAGAUCGAUGAUAAACGAGAGGCGGAGAGGACAUGGAAGUUCGUUUUGAUGCUAGCGUAAAAGAAGUUGUUCGAUGUGAUGUUCUUUCUAUAAAUAAUUUUGCAGAUAAUUGAGGAACAUUAUAAAAAUUCUGGAUGCCAUUAAGUUACAGACCGUUGGUUACAUCAGUCCUCCUUCGUUUCAGGGAGUAGCUGUACCUAUAGCCCAAGGGAAUGCACGAAAGUGAUUUUUUUUCCAUUGAGAAUGAAGACAGUAUGUUUUUGCUGAAGGAAGGAUUCAUGACAAUGAAUUGACUGCCCAACAUAUGAGAAGGGGGAGACUGCUGGAAAUUAAUUUGGAAACCGCUGAAACAAUAGAUUGCAGUGGCAUCUCUCCUGGCUUUGGCUUGCUCGUUACACAUUUAGACUUUAGAAUAUUAGUUUCUGCAAUUAAUUAAGUGUAAAUUGUCGUUAUCGUGAAUGUAUGGUAUUCUAACGAUUAUCUAUUGUCUGCAGUAUAAAUUGACGUUACGGCUACAGU
rnacentral:lncRNA from 1 species